UACGUAGGUGGCAAGCGUUGUCCGGAUUUACUGGGCGUAAAGAGCGCGCAGGCGGUCGUUCAAGUCGCGUGUGAAAGCCCCCGGCUCAACUGGGGAGGGUCACGCGAUACUGAUCGACUCGAAGGCAGGAGAGGGUAGUGGAAUUCCCGGUGUAGUGGUGAAAUGCGUAGAUAUCAGGAAGAACAUCGGUGGCGAAGGCGCUCUGCUGGACCAUAACUGACACUCAGGGACGAAAGCUAGGGGAGCGAAUGGG
rnacentral:rRNA from 1 species